rnacentral:rRNA from 1 species
GCCUAACACAUGCAAGUCGAACGAGAUCUUUGGAAUAAGCUCGGCAGAAUAAGAUUGAUCUUAGUGGCGGACGGGUGAGUAACGCGUGGAGAACCUGCCCUGUACAGGGGGAUAACAGUCCAGAAAUGGAUGCUAAAACCGCAUAAGCGCACAUGACCGCAUGGUCAAGUGUGAAAAACUCCGGUGGUACAGGAUGGCUCCGCGUUGGAUUAGCCAGUUGGCGGGGUAACGGCCCACCAAAGCGACGAUCCAUAGCCGGCCUGAGAGGGUGGACGGCCACAUUGGGACUGAGACACGGCCCAGACUCCUACGGGAGGCAGCAGUGGGGAAUAUUGCACAAUGGGGGGAACCCUGAUUGCAGCGACGCCGCGUGAAGGAAGAAGUAUUUCGGUAUGUAAACUUCUAUCAGCAGGGAAGAAAAUGACGGUACCUGACUAAGAAGCCCCGGCUAACUACGUGCCAGCAGCUGC